GAUGAAGAACGCAGCGAAACGCGAUAAGUAAUGUGAAUUGCAGAAUCCAGUGAAUCAUCGAAUCUUUGAACGCACAUUGCGCCCGCCAGCAUUCUGGCGGGCAUGCCUGUUCGAGCGUCAUUUCAACCCUCGACCUCCCCUUGGGGAGGUCGGCGUUGGGGACCGGCAGCACACCGCCGGCCCUGAAAUGGAGUGGCGGCCCGUCCGCGGCGACCUCUGCGCAGUAAUACAGCUCGCACCGGGACCCCGACGCGGCCACGCCGUAAAACACCCAACUUCUGAACGUUGACCUCGAAUCAGGUAGGACUACCCGCUGAACUUAAGCAUAUCAAUAAACGGAGGA
rnacentral:misc_RNA from 1 species